rnacentral:tRNA from 1 species
AUUCAAAUAGUUUAUAUAAAACAUUCCAUUUUCAAUGGAAAAAUAAAUUAAUUUUUUUUGAAUA